rnacentral:ncRNA from 2 species
GGAAGCCGGUGAAAACCCGGCACGGUCGCGCCACUGUAUGCGAGUUCGUUGUUAAAGCCACUCGCGAGUCAGAC